rnacentral:rRNA from 1 species
CUGCCUGCCCAGUGACCAAAAGUUAAACGGCCGCGGUAUCUUGACCGUGCGAAGGUAGCAUAAUCAUUUGUCUCCUAAAUAGAGACUGGUAUGAAUGGCAAGACGGAACUGCACUGUCUCCUCUUCUUCCAUUUUAAUUUCACUUUCCCGUGAAGAGGCGGGAAAAUAUUCGCUAGACGAGAAGACCCUGUCGAGCUGCAGCAAACUGCCAAUUCUUAGUUUCUUUUUUCUUUCCUAAUUUCUAAAACUAGAAAGAUUAGAAUAAAAAGUUGGUACUAGCUUUGGUUGGGGCAACCGCGGAGAAACUUAAUCCUCCGCUAACAAUCUUAUUAAAACUGAGAUACAACAAAUCUCCUAGUGCUAUAAGCAAGUAAACUGAUCCACUAAGGUGAUCAAAGGAAAAAGUUACCGCAGGGAUAACAGCGUUAUCUUUUCUGAGAGUUCAUAUUGACGAAAAGGUUUGCGACCUCGAUGUUGGAUCGGGACAUCCUAAGGGUGCAGAAGCUUUUAAGGGUUGGUCUGUUCGACCAUUAAAGUC